AUUGAACGCUGGCGGCAGGCCUAACACAUGCAAGUCGAACGAGUGGCGGACGGGUGAGUAAUGUCUGGGAAACUGCCUGAUGGAGGGGGAUAACUACUGGAAACGGUAGCUAAUACCGCAUACCAUCAGAUGUGCCCAGAUGGGAUUAGCUUGUUGGUGGGGUAACGGCUCACCAAGGCGACGAUCCCUAACUGGUCUGAGAGGAUGACCAGCCACACUGGAACUGUGACACGGUCCAGACUCCUAAGGGAGGCAGCAGUGGGGAAUAGUGCACAAUGGGCGAAGGCCUGAUGCAGCCAUACCACGUAUAUGAAGAAGGCCUUCGGGUUGUAAAGUACGUUCAGCGGAGAGGCGUUACCAGCAGAAGAAGCACAGGCUAACUCCGUGCCAGCAGCAGCGGUAAUAC
rnacentral:rRNA from 1 species